rnacentral:lncRNA from 1 species
UAUAGCAUAGGCACAUGCAAUAAUGGCAGGGCCAGCUAAUUUCUGUAAUGGGUCAGGCAACAAAGUACUCCAGGAAAUAGGUACCAAAUGGAUGUCCAGACCUGGAAUACAUUUCUGAAGAUAUUGAGCUAUUGAGUUUUUUAUAUUCUAAUACCUUGUUUAGGAAAGGACAAUGAUGUCUUUACCGCCUUUCUAGGCAAUGACACAUUUUAAACAUCUGCGUUUUACUAUAUAGAUUUCUAAUAUCCCUCUAACUAAUUGGCAAGCUCUCAUGUAGUUUCAUUAAUAAUAUUUGAAGUAUUUACAUAGCCAUCUUGGAGUGGCUAUGUUAGGGCCCUUCAAAUGCUAGGGAUUAGAUUAUAGUUUAUUUAAAUAGAUACGAAUACACACAUAUUAUACUGUUUCAUACCAGAGUUUUAAAAAGUAAAUUAUUUUUGGAUAAUAUAACAGGUAUUAUUAUUCAUUUUUAUUUCUAUUAAUAUCAGUAUUAGUCCCAUGUUCCAAAGGAUAACUGAGUCUCCAAAAAUUUAAAUAAUGUGCUCUGAAUCAUACAAUGAAUAUGGAAAAAAAUUUAUGGCUAUAAAUCAGAACUUAGCUCUGGGCUUUUAUCAUCCACGAUAAAGAGGCAAACACAGUAGGUUCCAUAGCUUUCUUAUGGUUAACAAAGAAUGCAGAGAAGUAAUGGAUAUGUAUGUGAAGACUUUUAUAUAAAUCAUUGUGGACAAUGUAAUAGACAAUACAGUAGUUAUUAAUAGUUUGAACAAUGCAGAGAUGUUCCCAUGUUUUAUUAUCUCCUACAUUGUCUCAGAGAAAGGCAAGGGUAUGACAUCUACAUGAAGAGUUAAAACACAUGCUGGUGCUGAAAUGCUUGCUGAUGACCUGACUUAAUAAAGAGGUGAAGAAUGGAUGAUGAAUAUGUCCAACAUAAUAUUUUCUUCUCUUUUUAUGAGGGGGUAUGAUGAAUAAGAAUCACAUGAAGGUCUUUCACGACAUAUGGCCUACAUACAAUACAUGCCUAUAUCCCUAUGACAGUGUUUUUCUUUUUAAUAUUACCUCAGUGAUCAUUUGGCAGGAAUUAAAUGCAAGGCACUAUAAAAAUCACCAUUUCUAGCAAGUACUUUCAGAAUAGGAAUUCUCUGCUACUGACUGAAGAAUGUUUCUACAUGCUUUUAAUUUUCAGUAUAAAAAUCAAAUUUGUAAACCCACUUUUUUAUCAUCUUUUCUCAUAUCAGUUCCCCCUUGACCCUAUUUUUCUGCAUAUGAAUGACUGCAACUCUUCUGAUGCACUGUCCUGUGCCUUUGCCUUUAUCCCUGUUGUCUGCUCCCCCUGCCACACCCUUUCUAUGACCUCUCCCAGCCACCGUCUCCCAGCUUUUCUUGUCUUUUAUUGUGUUUCCUGCAUACCACAUAACUUGACAUACCACAGGUCCUCAAGAUUGGGCAUGAAUGCAUCUAUUCAUUUUAAUUUAUUACAUUAUAUCUGGUCCAUUUAGAUCCCCCAAGAUUUAGGUUAGCAAUAGGCUCCUACAGAUGCUGAUGGUUACAAGAGAAGUGACUAACAUAGUACAAUCAGUAAAUCUAAGGACGUUCUUGAAAACUACACAUGAACUUGGGCAAAUGUGCUGGAGCAGACAAUAAAAAAUUAUGCUUAUGGUAUACUUAGGUUUCUUGUUUUGCAAAGCAUACUAGCUACUUAUGUUUGCAUGCUUCUAAAAAAAUCAUUAUUAACUACAAAUAUUUCCUCACAAACCUAGUGAUACAGACUGACAUAGUUCCCAGUCAUUGGCUGGGGUACUUCACCCAUCCAGCAGCACAGGUGAGGUCUGGCCAGCACAUGUUAAAAAAAUGUCAAAGUCCUCAAGGUACCUAACACGUCC